rnacentral:rRNA from 1 species
CUACGGGCCGACCAGUGGGGAAUAUUGCACAAUGGAGGAAACUCUGAUGCAGCAACGCCGCGUGGAGGAUGACACUUUUCGGAGCGUAAACUCCUUUUAUAUAGGAAGAAGAUGACGGUACUAUAUGAAUAAGCGCCGGCUAACUCCGUGCCAGCAGCCGCGGUAAUACGGAGGGCACAAGCGUUACUCGGAAUCACUGGGCGUAAAGAGCGUGUAGGCGGAUUAAAAAGUCAGAAGUGAAAUCCUAUAGCUUAACUAUAGAACUGCUUCUGAAACUCUUAAUCUAGAAUAUGGGAGAGGUAGAUGGAAUUUCUGGUGUAGGGGUAAAAUCCGUAGAGAUCAGAAGGAAUACCGAUUGCGAAGGCGAUCUACUAGAACAUUAUUGACGCUGAGACGCGAAAGCGUGGGGAGCAAACAGGAUUAGAUACCCUUGUAGUC